rnacentral:rRNA from 1 species
UACAGAGGUCUCAAGCGUUGUUCGGAUUCAUUGGGCGUAAAGGGUGCGUAGGCGGCGCGGUAAGUCGGGUGUGAAAUCUCGGAGCUUAACUCCGAAACUGCAUUCGAUACUGCCGUGCUUGAGGACUGGAGAGGAGACUGGAAUUUACGGUGUAGCGGUGAAAUGCGUAGAUAUCGUAAGGAAGACCAGUGGCGAAGGCGGUUCUCUGGGACGGUACUGACGCUGAGACGCGAAAGCGUGGGGAGCGAACAGG